UACGUAGGGGGCAAGCGUUGUCCGGAAUCAUUGGGCGUAAAGCGCGUGUAGGCGGCUGACUAAGUCCGCUCUGAAAGCCCGGGGCUCAACCCCGGGAGGCGGGUGGAUACUGGUCAGCUCGAGUCCGGAAGAGGGGUGUGGAAUUCCUGGUGUAGCGGUGAAAUGCGCAGAUAUCAGGAGGAACACCAAUGGCGAAGGCAGCACUCUGGGACGGUACUGACGCUGAGACGCGAAAGCGUGGGGAGCAAACAGG
rnacentral:rRNA from 1 species